UUUAGACUUGUUGAUUCGCAGAAGUUUUUCUACUACUGACUCCACAGUAACUUGAAUACAUUCAUCAGUAUCAUAAGGGAAACGCAGGUCCACGGUAGCAGCCUGAAAAGAAAUGUAUCUCCAGAGAGACAAACGCCCCUGUGAUCUCUUUGUUUACGGUUCCUUCUAACUGGUGAGUCCCACAGAGUUUUAAACGGAAAAAUACGCCGCUUCAACACCUGUAUUUAUCAAAGAAUUGUUGGUUGACGAUGAGCAGGGCGUUAGGGUUGUUCCGA